rnacentral:rRNA from 1 species
UACGGGGGGGGCAAGCGUUGUUCGGAAUUACUGGGCGUAAAGGGCUCGUAGGUGGCCAACUAAGUCAGACGUGAAAUCCCUCGGCUUAACCGGGGAACUGCGUCUGAUACUGGAUGGCUUGAGACUGGGAGAGGGAUGCGGAAUUCCAGGUGUAGCGGUGAAAUGCGUAGAUAUCUGGAGGAACACCGGUGGCGAAGGCGGCAUCCUGGACCAACACUGACGCUGAGUGAGCGAAAGCCAGGGGAGCAAACGGG